CCUACGGGGCGCAGCAGUGGGGGAUAUUGCACAAUGGGGGAAACCCUGAUGCAGCGACGCCGCGUGGGUGAAGAAGCGCCUCGGCGCGUAAAGCCCUGUCAGCAGGGAAGAAAAUGACGGUACCUGAAGAAGAAGCCCCGGAUAACUACGUGCCAGCAGCCGCGGUAAUACGUAGGGGGCAAGCGUUAUCCGGAUUUACUGGGUGUAAAGGGGGCGCAGACGGGGAUGCAAGCCAGGAGUGAAAGCCCGGGGCCCAACCCCGGGACUGCUCUUGGAACUGCGUGGCUAGAGUGCAGGAGGGGCAGGCGGAAUUCCUGGUGUAGCGGUGAAAUGCGUAGAUAUCAGGAGGAACACCGGUGGCGAAGGCGGCCUGCUGGACUGCAACUGACGUUGAGGCCCGAAAGCGUGGGGAGCAAACAGGAUUAGAUACCCCUGUAGUC
rnacentral:rRNA from 1 species